rnacentral:rRNA from 1 species
GACACAUGGCCGGCAGCUACACAUGCAGUCGAGCGGUAGCACAGAGAGCUUGCUCUCGGGUGACGAGCGGCGGACGGGUGAGUAAUGUCUGGGAAACUGCCUGAUGGAGGGGGAUAACUACUGGAAACGGUAGCUAAUACCGCAUAACGUCGCAAGACCAAAGAGGGGGACCUUCGGGCCUCUUGCCAUCAGAUGUGCCCAGAUGGGAUUAGCUAGUAGGUGGGGUAACGGCUCACCUAGGCGACGAUCCCUAGCUGGUCUGAGAGGAUGACCAGCCACACUGGAACUGAGACACGGUCCAGACUCCUACGGGAGGCAGCAGUGGGGAAUAUUGCACAAUGGGCGCAAGCCUGAUGCAGCCAUGCCGCGUGUAUGAAGAAGGCCUUCGGGUUGUAAAGUACUUUCAGCGAGGAGGAAGGCAUUGUGGUUAAUAACCACAGUGAUUGACGUUACUCGCAGAAGAAGCACCGGCUAACUCUGUGCAGCAGCCGCU